UGCGUAGGCGGGCUAAUAAGUCAGUGGUGAAAUCUCUCGGCUCAACCGGGAAACUGCCAUUGAUACUGUUAGUCUUGAGUUCGGUUGAGGUAGGCGGAAUGUGUAAUGUAGCGGUGAAAUGCUUAGAUAUUACACAGAACACCAAUUGCGUAGGCAGCUUACUAGACCGACACUGACGCUGAGGCACGAAAGCGUGGGGAGUGAACAGGAUUAGAUACCCUGGUAGUCC
rnacentral:rRNA from 1 species